rnacentral:rRNA from 1 species
UACGAAGGGGGCUAGCGUUGCUCGGAAUCACUGGGCGUAAAGGGCGCGUAGGCGGCCAUUCAAGUCGGGGGUGAAAGCCUGUGGCUCAACCACAGAAUUGCCUUCGAUACUGUUUGGCUUGAGUUUGGUAGAGGUUGGUGGAACUGCGAGUGUAGAGGUGAAAUUCGUAGAUAUUCGCAAGAACACCAGUGGCGAAGGCGGCCAACUGGACCAAUACUGACGCGUGAGGCGCGAAAGCGUGGGAGCAAACAGG